GUUCUCUGAACCCAUAUGAUAGCUUUGUGAGGAACAGACCAAAAAUUUCCUCAUUCAUGUUCGCAUACAUUAAAAAUAAAUCGUGCGGAAAGACACAUUGCACCUAGUGUGACAUCAGUGACUUUGAACGUCAUUGGAUCGCUCACAUGAACAAUCGAGAACUGAUGUCAAACCUGGCUUUAACAUGCUAAAUUUAAUGUAUGCAAAUUUGACUUUAUGGUGCUUUUAUGGUGUUUUUUCUGUCAUUUUUGUAGUUCAACAGUCUACGUCAACGUUUUCACUGUAUAUAAAAGAACAGCAUAAACAUUCUGCAUAAAAUAUCCUUUUGAGUUCCAUGGAAGAAAGAAAAAAUACGGGUUUGGAAUGACAUGAGGGUGAGGACUAUAAAUGAUGACAGAAAUGUAAUUUUUAGGUGAACUAUUCAUUUAAGGUUGGGCCCUGAAAAUUUGUUUGUCCUAACUUCAUGACUAGAGGACGCUUCAUUUGAUAUUAAGACUAUGUGUGCCAGAGAAUGUACAGUAUGUGUUUAUAAAUAUGUGUGUAUACAUUUGAGUCUAAAGGGAACUACAAGACUUGGCUCUGACUGGCUCCUUUAAAUGACUCCACCAAUCAGAGGUUGGCUUGAGUACGAUGUCAUAGAGAAAUUAAAUAAAUAAAUAAAUCACUACCUCUAAUGUGACUACAGUAACCAUAAAAAAGCACAGGGGUUACUAUUACUGUUUUUACUUAAAAAGAAGGGGAAAAAAUAGAAAGACUAAGAGGUAAACAAGAGAUUUUCACACUGACAAAAACCAUGCAGGCAGAUGACAGCUUUUGUGUUAGUCUAAGAUGACAGGGAGUGAAUAUAUAAGCCAAUAAGAGCAAUCGAAGAAAGACAGAGAGUGUACAGAGACAGAGAACAUGCAACUGGAAUGAGAAGAAGUGAUGGAAAUUUUCUAAAUGAAAAAGAGUAACAGAUGACAGUGGAGUGGAGGCCAGUUUUACGAUGUUAUGUGACUCUUUUUAUUCAAGGUUGCAAACGGAGUUGGUUCAUGCUUGUGGGGGUUGAGGAUGAGGAGUUGCCAUUGGCUGGCUGUUUUCAGAGGUCAGGCAGGGGCGGGACUGGUGACUGGCUGGUCAGAUGGGAUAUUGUUUUCUGAUUGGUGGGGGCACUACUGUUGAUCAGGCUGCAAUUGAGAGGUGCAUUUUAACACUUUAUACUCUUUCUUGUUAAUAAACCGCUUUAUUCCUGUCAGAAUCACCCUUAAAUUGCAGACAAGACAGGCAAUCAGUAACUUUCACCAGAGAGGCAAGAGGAAGAGGAGGAGCCCAUGACAGAUGCCACACACAGGCGCAAAGGGAAGGCCUAAAGGAUCACUAAACAUAGGGAAAGACCAGACCCACACCGCACAGCUGAACAUACAGACCACAGCGAGAGUCCAGAGAGAGAUAGAGGGAGAGGAGGAACAGAGGGAGAGAGGGAUGGGGUGGGAUCAAUCACUACACUCCUCUUCUUGUCACCGCAGCCGUUUGGUGUCGCUCCGUGGAAGCUGGAAAGGAAGAGCUGAUUGAGAUCGACAGGCAGCAGGGUGGGAGAGAGCCAUUCCAGUGUACGGCAAUCAGCCAUUCCAGUGUACGGAAAUCAGCAGGCACGAUAUGGACCAUUCAGCUGGCCUACAAAAACUCCUUCUGACAAAUGGGACAGAAUGUUUGUUGAAACAGCCCUUCACUCAUAACCCUGUAUGAGACUCACCAAUGCAGGUCUUGCUGUCCGAAUGAAGGGCAUAUUUCUGAUGACAUCCACAUACGGGCCCCACGUCUGUGUCAUCGCACGUGUGUUGGCAACCACCAUUUCCAUAGUUACAUGUCACUGGUAACAC